CCCUCUCAUCCUAUCACUGUUACUGGGGAGAAGAAGCCAACCCCCACCUCACUACAACCUCCUUUCAGGUCAUAGAGAGAGAUAAGAUCUCCCCUGCGUCUUCGCCAGCCUGAACAAUCACAGUUCCCUUAGUGAAGAUGUAUUCUGACCAACUAGCUGCUGUUUUCAUUCUUUUCUGCUGUAUAUACAAAUGCUGUUUAUAAGGCAAAACAAACAAACAACUCCAAAAAACACGUCAUGGGAAAUAUAAUUUUCCCUGUAUCCUGCUUCCAGUUGUUCUUUCAUCUGAGGCAGUCUUCUAUUAUGUUUCUAUAAUGCAUAUCAGAUUGUCCACACAGCAAUUUAUAUACUCAGCAGUCCAGUGCUAGAAGUUUUAAAGAGCUGAAAUGUACUGUUCAGUUGCUGCUGGUUAAAGAUUCACAGCAAUAAUUUGAAAUUUAAUGCAUCCAAAAUUAUGCAUACUGAAAUGAAAUUGGAAUAUAAUAGCUGUACUUUCACGAAUGUCUUUCUUGCUUCUAUCUCCUCAUCAUCAGCCGCCAAACAUUAGUUCUUCGUCAUCUGAAACUUUUUGUUGUCAAAAAAUUACAGAGUUUCAUUUCUAUUCUACCUAUUGGAUUUGGUCUUCUAAAGCCAGUAUUGAAGGAUGAUAAAGAAAUCCAGAGCAGAUUUUAAAACUGGGACAUGAAGAGUCUGUACUGAAGUGUCUGUACUGAAGAUUCCAAAGGAGAACAUUCAGACACUGGGUUGUUUUUGUUUUCUUUGUUUGUUUGUUUGUUUUUCCUUUUCUCUUUUAAUGUUAUAAAUGGAAAGCCAAGAGACCCAGGUAUAAAGUUUCUCACACUUGUAAGUUUUGCCAGAACAAGGCAAGAUGUGUUCUUUUGUUGUAUCAGUCACAUUUUUCUUCACGUAUUUUUAUAUUCUCCUUCUCUUUGGGAUUUGAAGCUUGUUCAGAACCCAGUUGGAGAGCUGUACUUGUGCUAUUCUUAAAACAUUGUGAUAAUUUUAUUUCUUGAAUUUCUGUAGCUCCUGCCAGUCUUCUUAGGUUUUCAUUUAGUCAUAAAAAUCAAAGGAUUUAGUAAAAGUGUACUAAAGUCAUAGUUUUCAUUUAUAUAACAGUGCCAAUGUAGCUAUGCUUGUCUAAUGAUACCCUCAGUCUUUUAGCUUUUUCACUUAAAUCUUGUUUCAUUUGUCAAGUGUUGCCUGGAUAUACCAGUGUUAGCAAUACAUAGUAGGGGAAUGUGACUGUGUAGUGACAGGUAGCAGACUUCUUUGUGCUGAGGACAGAGCAGUGACCAAUAUUACAUGACCAGUGUUCCCUUCUGUAAUCAUCUGUGCCAUUAUUAUUAUCAAAGCUACUUCACAGUGAUUAAAAAAAACUCUCAAAUGCCUCCUUCUUCCAUGCACAGGGAGCUAUUAAACUUUAUUAAGCCAUGCACAAACUCAGUUUUUGAGUCCCUCUUCUAUAACAGAAGCUUUCUGCAGUGAACUCUACUCCUUCCACAGUGCUUCUGUGUUCAGACUCUGAAGUUUAAUCUACGUUCAGACCUCAGUAUUUGAAGCUUAAUUAACAAUUUCAAGUGAAGUUUUGUUAUAUGGGGUUUAUUAAGCUUGCUCGCUUUCUGUUGCACAGAUUGCAUACCCGUUCCUUGCUUAGUCCUCAAGCCAGCCCAAACUGCGAAUAGAUUCCUCUAUGGUAGAUUUUUGUGUUAACAAUCUCAAACACAGUAUGCUGUCAAGACACAGCCUAUUUCACCUUCAUGGCUAUAAACCACAUAUCUUUUCCUUAAGGCAUUGAAUUGUGCAGGAUAUUUGCAGAAUGACUGUAGAAUAGUUAUUAUACUUUCCGUCAUUAUGCUGAAGCCUACAAUAGCUGGUUUGGGUUUGGGUUGGUUUGUUUUUCCCCCCCAGCAGUGGAGACAUCUGAAAGCAUCAGAGGCUUCUGCUUCAUGUUCAACAGAGUAAAGACCUGAGUUCUUACUCUAUGUACUGGAUCUUGAGACAUGGACCACUUGCACAUUAAAGUCACACUCCUUGUUUCCAAUACAAAUGUGCAGUGAAAAAAAGCAACCACUCUGUAAGAAAAUGUGUGAUCAAAUGCUGGGAGAGUAGUAGAGCUGGAAUCCAGAAGAAGCAGUUAAAAAGCAGUCCUCCACUCCGAGAGGUAAAGAAUAAGGUCAGGGUACACAGCUGGCAAAACUGUGGAGAGAAAAGGGGAGCCAGAUAUAAAAUAGUAAGAAUGCAGUUGAGAAAUGCAAGUUAUUUUGAGGUGGCCAAACAAAUGGGAUAGAGAAGUCAAAAUAAUUAAAUGGUUAAUCCAUAUGGGCAAACUAGAAAACCAUAGUCGGGAACGCUGGAAACAAAUGGAAUAGGCUCCCCAGGGUGGUGGUUGAAUCGCCAUCCCUGGAUGUGUUUAA